rnacentral:lncRNA from 1 species
CAACAACACAUUUUGCAGAGCUUUGGGGCCAUUUGGAUCACACGAUGUUUUUUCAAGAUUUUAGACCCUUUCUAAGUAGCAGUCCACUGGACCAAGAUAAUAGAGCCAAUGAAAGGGGUCACCAGACUCACACUGACUUCUGGGGAGCAAGACCUCCACGGUUGCCAUUGGGUCGGAGAUACAGAUCUCGAGGAAGUUCUCGUCCUGACAGAUCUCCAGCUAUUGAAGGGUGAGUUGUUUUAUUUUAAGUUCUUUUUAAGGUAGUUUCAAUGAAGGACAAAUUGGUAUAAUCUAAUCUUUAUAAGGGUCUCAUACUUAUUACCUUUGUGGACAAGAUGGACAUAUGUAGAAAGGAUGAAAGUGAAGCUAAAUUGAAUGUUAGUACUCACCCGAUGAUAAACCAGAGAGUGAGAAAUGCUAUGUCUCUGAUUAACAUUUUUAUUAAUGGCUCAGAUUAAUUUAUAGAUGAUAUGUGUCUCAGUCCAUUUUGUGCAGCUAUAGCAGAAUACCUGAGACUGGGUGAUUUAUAAAGAACAGAGAUUCAUUUCUUAUAUUUCUGGAGGCUGGGAAGUCCAAGGUUGAGGGAUCCACAUCUGGCGAGGGCCUUCUUGCUGUGUCAUUCCAUGUUGGAAGGCAGAAGGGCAAGAGAGCAUGCAUGAGCAAGAAAGAAAGGUGCCACACUCAUCCUUUUAUUAGGAACUCACUCAACAAUAACUAAUCCACUUCCAGGAUAAAGGCAUUUAAUCCACUCACAGGAGAUUCAUCUCUUAAAGUCUCCACCUUUCAACACUGCUCCACUGGGGAUUAAGUUUCCAACACAUGAAUUUUUGAGGAGGGCACAUUCAAACUAUAGCAGUAUAUUUAUCAAAAUUUCAAAAGGGUAUCAAAUAUAUUAGGCAUUAGGAUUAAAUAUUUCAACAGAUUGGAACAGUGGACUUAACAUGAAAUUUAAUCAAGUAUCUGCUUUUUGUGAAGAAAGG